rnacentral:rRNA from 1 species
AAUAUCAAAGGUGAGCCAGUACAGGAUGGACCCGCGUCUGAUUAGCUAGUUGGUAAGGUAACGGCUUACCAAGGCGACGAUCAGUAGCCGACCUGAGAGGGUGAUCGGCCACAUUGGAACUGAGACACGGUCCAAACUCCUACGGGAGGCAGCAGUGGGGAAUAUUGCACAAUGGGCGAAAGCCUGAUGCAGCAACGCCGCGUGAGUGAUGAAGGCCUUCGGGUCGUAAAACUCUGUCCUCAAGGAAGAUAAUGACGGUACUUGAGGAGGAAGCCCCGGCUAACUACGUGCCAGCAGCCGCGGUAAUACGUAGGGGGCUAGCGUUAUCCGGAUUUACUGGGCGUAAAGGGUGCGUAGGCGGUCUUUCAAGUCAGGAGUGAAAGGCUACGGCUCAACCGUAGUAAGCUCUUGAAACUGGGAG